rnacentral:lncRNA from 1 species
CGAGAUCAUUCAUCAUGAUACCAAAUUUGUGGCUAUUCAGUGCAAAUAUCAAGAGGUUACAAUAGAAGGAAUCUAUUUCAAAAACAAUGUUCACAUGUGACACCAUCAUGAGGGGAACUGUCGUGUAUCAAAGUCAUCCAUAGAAGUGGGACUAUUGUGCUGAAAGUUGACUGAAGCUACUAUAUAUACCUGAAUCCUAAGUUGAGUGCCUCAGUAUAUGGUCUCUGUGAGCUUUGUUUGAGAACAUGUCAACAAGUAGGAGGCCUUGGUUCAUCGUUGUGUUGCUGUUUCUGGUGUUCCUACAGCUCAUCACUGUGCACGCCGGCCCGACAGUCUGUAAGCAAGCCUCCUAAACCUUAUAACUUCAUGAUUCCAAUACAGUUAUGUGUGAUGUAGAUAUGUAUUAAUAUUACCGACCCCUUUUACUUUGUGUGAUGUGUAGUUUCACCAUCUGUCCACUCAGCUGGCUAAAUAUUAUUUUCUUUUCUAUUUUGUCAAACUAUCAUUAAAGGUGAAUCCUUAUCGAUUAUAUGAUCUUUUUUUUCGAGGCAAUGAUUAUAUGUGUUGUCUUAAUGCGACACUUUGAGUCAAUAAAACUCCAUUUACCCAGAAAACUAUUCAUCAAGAUUGCAUUUAGGAGGGUAACAAAGCUUUCCAUUUUGAACUGGGAGCUGAUCUGCCUGGAAGUUUUAGAUCUGUACCAGUCAAAUUAUAUAUGGUAGUAGACGUGUGUAUAAUAGAUAGGUUCUCUGUGGAAUUACGUUUGGAUAAUUCUGAACUUUCAAUGAUACCUGAAAGCUAAGUUUAGACCGUGUGUAAUUCAGCUAGGCGUACUCAAGAUUAGAAUUCAACGGAAAUGUGACCAUAUCAGAGAGAAGGAAUUAGCCAUUUCGAUGGUGCGCACUGAACAUAUUCGAGCUAAGUCGAGUUUGCUGAAAAGCCAGCCGAAACAUACUUAAUAUCGAAUAUGAUAUUUUUUUUGUGGGCAUAGCGUGAAAAAUGGGGUAUAACCUUUUCAUUGGAACUUAAUUUAGUUUGUAGGAAAUAUUUCAAAAAAGGUUCAUGUGUCAUAACUUUUUAAAACAAUUGUCUGAUCCAAAAAAAAUGAAUUAGUUUUCGGUAUUGGUAGUAAGUUUUCUAUUCAUAUUUAUAAAUCUAUUAGUUUAGGUAUCAAACUCUAUUAGUUGAUUUAAACAAUACUACUCCCUUCGUUUGCAAGCACGGUGCAUAUAGAUUUUCUCAAACUUUGUAAAGUUUGGUCAAGCCAACUUGGUCAAACUUUAGAAGGUUUGACUAAGAAAAAAGUCUAUAUGUGCUAUAUUUUGGUACGGUGUAGUUGCACAAAUUCAAUAGAUCUUUUAUUUAAGAUUUUAGUACGUUUGGUGGAGUACAGUUUACCUCACUGCUGAGGAGAUCAACGUUGAUAAUUGAUGAAGUGCACAUACAUGCCACUGUCCUAAUCUGUUCUUUCCAACCUAUGUGCAGGCAACUACCUUCGUCGAGAAAACUGUCGGCGUAAAUAACCAUGAACUAAAGUACGAAAAAUGCGUGCAUGCUUGCUUCAUUAGGUUAGGUACAUAAUCGUCAUGUACUAGUUUGUUUGGUUUCCCAAGAAAUGAAAUGAAGUUGGAAAAUGUGUACCGCUUGGAAUGAAGGUUCGGCCAGUUCUCUUGGAGUUACUUCAAGACAUUGAUGCACAGCUUAAAUUUGUAAUCAGUAUUGGCACAUUGGAAAGUUAUUGUCUGCUUCUACAUGCAGUUGGACAGAACUGUAGCUAGAAUUUUCAAUCUUCCAAUAUGAUCACAACGAUUUUGCAUGAGUGAUUUUCCAAAGUACACAAAUUUUACUUUUCUACUCCCUC